rnacentral:rRNA from 1 species
AGGGUUUGAUCCUGGCUCAGGGUGAACGCUGGCGGCGUGCUUGACACAUGCAAGUCGAACGGUAUGUGGCAACACAUAGAGUGGCGAACGGGUGAGUAACACGUGGGAACGUACCAUCUGCAGGGGGAUAACUGACCGAAAGGACAGCUAAUACCGCAUAAGUCCGGAAGGAGAAAGGUGCAAUAGCAUCGGCAGAAGAGCGGCCCGCGGUCCAUCAGCUAGUUGGUGAGGUAAGGGCUUACCAAGGCGACGACGGAUAGCCGGCGUGAGAGCGUGGCCGGCCACAAGGACACUGAGAUACGGGUCCUACUCCUACGGGAGGCAGCAGUGCGGAAUUUUAGAUAAUGGAGGGAACUCUGAUCUAGCGACGCCGCGUGCAGGAAGAAGGUCUUCGGAUUGUAAACUGCUGUGGUAAGGGAAAAAUGCUAUGUAGAGUGGAAAGCUACAUAGAGGGAUGGUACCUUACUAGAAAGCCCCGGCUAACUACGUGCCAGCAGCCGCGGUAAUACGUAGGGGGCGAGCGUUACCCGGAAUCACUGGGCGUAAAGGGAGCGUAGGUGGCCUAACAUGUCAACUGUGAAAACCCGGAGCUCAACUCCGGACUUGCAGUUGAAACUGGUAGGCUUGAGGACGGUAGAGGAAGACGGAACUGCCAGUGUAGGGGUAAAAUCCUUAGAUAUUGGCAGGAACGCCGGUGACGAAGGUGGUUUUCUGGGCCGGUUCUGACACUGAUGCUCGAAAGCCAGGGGAGCGAACGGGAUUAGAUACCCCGGUAGUCCUGGCCCUAAACGAUGUUCACUAGGUGUGGGGAGCGGAAAGCCCUCCGUGCUAAAGCUAACGCGAUAAGUGAACCGCCUGGGGAGUACGCCCGCAAGGGUGAAACUCAAAGGAAUUGACGGGGGCCCGCACAAGCGGUGGAGCGUGUGGUUUAAUUCGAUGCUAAGCGAAGGACCUUACCAAGGUUUGACAUGCUAAUGGUAGUGAAUUGAAAGAGGAACGACCACACUAUGUGUGGAGUUAGCACAGGUGGUGCACGGCCGUCGUCAGCUCGUGUCGUGAGGUGUUGGGUUAAGUCCCGCAACGAGCGCAACCCCUGCUCUUAGUUACCAGCGGUAAGGCCGGGUACUCUAGGAGGACCGCCGCCGACGAGGCGGAGGAAGGGGGGGAUGAAGUCAGGUAUCGUGCCCCUUAUAUCUUGGGCGACACACGCGCUACAAUGGGUUGGA